UACUUUCAAGAGGAACCUAUAAUACAUUUCCUGCAUGCUACACUGCUUCAGAGUCAACUUCCUGGGAACUCAGCCAUGACAGUAGGAGGAGUAGUCUGAGAAACUAGAUUCUAAGAUGAGAUUUUGUAGCUGGAUCCUUGCUUCUCAGCUGGUAAUGAAGACCUCUACCAACUACCAGUUACACCUGGCACAAGAUAGCAGUGCUAAGCACCAAAGAAGAAUCACAACAUGGAGCUUUGGAUUCUGGAGCAAGAAUGAAACUGGAAAAAGUUGGUGUUCAUGCUGCCUGUCACUACCAGAACCAAUAAGUAGAGACAAGAAUUGAAUUUGUAUGAAUACUUUAUUCAGAUGCCAGCGAUCUGAGAAGAUGGCAGGUUUAUACCCUCGGAAACCAUCUUUACAUCUCAUCUCAAGCCAACAUUUUUAUAAGGAGAAGAAAGAGUAUGUAAGGGAUUUGGAAGAAAGUUUAAAUGGGUAAGAGUUGCAGCCUGGCAGCAAUUUUGCUAGUACUUUAUUUGCUGAUCAACAUUUUUUUAUAUGUGUCAUGGACAUUUCCUCCCUAGAACACAGUGACUCACAUACCAUCUCCAAUGCUUGCAGACCCCCUGGAGCACAAGGCUGAAUUGCUUGUUGACUUCCUGGAGUCGUGUGGUCAUGCCUUCCAGUUGUUGGAAUACAGCUUUCCACAUCCCUUAAUCACUUAAGCUUAUCAACUGUGACUGAAGUUAAAACUUUUAAUUCUUGAGUUCCCCCAUCAAGACCAUGCCAACUCUAACAAAUAAUAUACACCUUUUGAAAAACAGCUUCUAGCAUGCUACUGAACCACGGUAGAGAUAGAGUGACUGCUUAUGGGAUAACAAAUGAUCAUGGGGUCAAAACUGUCCCUCCUAUACAGAAUUCUGUCAGACCUACCAAGACAUAAGGUCAGACAGGCCCAGCCACAACCCACUGCAAGAUGGAAGUAGCACAUGAAGGACUGAGCAUGAGCAGGGCCAGAGGCAAAAGGCAAGGUAUCUGAGCAAGUAGGCCAGAGUCCCAUUCCAUCGUCACUGUUGCAAGAGAUCCUCCCUGUUCAUUCACGCCUAUGGUCAUGGAUCCCCAACAACUGGUUGAUGGAUGAGGCAAAAACCUGACUUUGAUUCAUGGAUAAGGUGACUGUAUAUGUGAACUCAAGUCACAAUCCUAGCAGGAAUACUUCUAUUACACAACAGAGGCAGAAAAAAACUACGUUUGUGACCCAAGUAAUUCACUUGGGUGCCUCUUAAUGCUCCCUUGUCUAAUGAAAAAAGAAGGUAGCAGCCAUAGCCUGAUAAAGGCAGGGUGACCAGGGGUGAGAUUCCUCAGGAAUGAAGGUAUGGGUAAUGACACUGAAUAAGUCACAAAGGCCCCAGGAACGCUAGCCAGGAGAAAGGAGAAUCCAGGAUGGUUGAAAAGGAAGAAAAUAAUGAGUCAGGUGUGACUCUGAAACAGCACUAACCUGGUUAACCCAAGGCUAACCUCCCUUUUCUAAGUUUUCCUCAAGAGAAUCUCCUGAGCCCUCCCAAGCAUCCCCGGAAUCCUACUAUAGAUUCCUCUGCACCUGACAUGGUACUGAGACAGGGGUGUCCACACUUUUGGCAUCUCUGGGCCACACUGGAAGAAGGAGAGUUGUCUUGGACCACACAUGAAAUACACAAAUGCUGAUGAAAACUGAUGAGCAAAAAAAAAAGGUCUGGGCAUAACUUACGGUUUUCGGGUUGGGCUGCAUUCAUAGCUAUCGUGUGCCGCAGGCAGCCAGAGGGCCACGGAUCGGACAUCCCUGAUAGAAGAUGUGGAUCAGCUGACCUUUAAUCUAGUUAGUGGAUACAGUUUAUAGCCUCAAAUUCCCAGGUGUGAUAGCAAAGCAGGUUUUGCUUUAAUUUACUGAGUAACUGUCAUAUCGAAAAACACUGGGGAAGAAAAAUGCCACAGCCGAAGGGGGAAAACUUUGACCCCAAACAUGGCAUUGUUCCCUCUUAGUCUCUCUCAGUCUUCCUGUUUGAAUUUCAUCACAGGGAGUAAACAGUUUCUUUGUUCCAUUUCUAGAUCUGGAGUGAGUCAGCACUAAGGUUUUGUUUGUUUGUUUGUUUAACAGCACCCUCUUCCACAUUCCUAGAAUCAUGAGACCUUGGCUGAAAAAAAAGGGAGGCUUCCUCCUCUAUUUGCUUCUCAGAUUUUUUUUUAAUCCUCCUCUGAGUACAUGCUUACUGAUUUUAGAGAGAGGGGAAGGGAGGGAGAGAAAGAGGGAGAGAAAUAUCAAUGUGCAAAAGAAACAUCAGUCUAUUGCUUUUUGAAUGUGCCCUGACUUGGGACUGAACCCGCAACCCAGGCAGGUGCCCUGACCUCCUGGUUUACAGACGGAUGCCCCAGCUGAGUCGCACUGGCACCAGCUGCUUUUCAGGCUUUUGAAAUCUAUUUUGUAUAUAUUAUUUAGUGGGAGUAGUUUUUUAAAUCCCUGGUUUAUGCAAAUAGAAUAAACUCAGGGAAUCUUGGGGGAAGAACUCUGGAAUUCCCUGUGUUUUUCUGGCUGCAGGCUUUUCAUUUAUAGUCCAUUAAAAUGUUUCCUCAAAGGUUAUGGCCUGACAGUGUAAGAAAUGGGCUUCACUUUGCUCCACAUUUUAAGUCUGUCCUGGGCUGAACUGUACUUUCCUGUCGGAUUUUGCUGGUGGUGUCACGGUAAGGUAUGUUACGAUGAAUGAGGUGAGGCUGUGCCUGAAUCUCCAGAAGUGUUAGCUAGGCCAACAUUUUUCAUGUGAGGUUAAAUGGAGUAAACCAGUUUAAGGGAGGAGCAACCAGCAUCUGAGAUUUUCUGAAUACCCCAAAGCACACACCCUGGACUUUCGGAGAUAAAAUCUUGGUUUAUCUGCAUUUUGUUAUCUUCUGUGUGUGGUCUGAAAAGGCAGGCCUUGUACAUCAAUGUCAUUUUACUGUGGUAGGAACUUUGAAAUCAAAAGUUCUGGGUUCAAAUUAGAGCUCUGCUAGGUACCACCUAUAUAACUUUGAUGACUUGUUUUCUUGCAGGCUCAAUAUUCUUAUGUAUACAACCAAAACCAAAGAUAAAAUAUUUGCAAGUUUAUAAGAGAAAAAUGUAAAUCGUCUGGGGGCACAGAGCAUAGCACAGAGUGGGGACCUACAUUCAUUUGAGAGCAAGGUCUUCAGUUUUGCAGUGAGGAGGGCGCAGGAAGAAGAUGAAGGAGCCCGAGGAAUAGUUGUGAGCUGGGGAAAACCGCAGAACGUAGAGCAACGCCUCUCGACCCCUGGGACUGAGGAAGGCUGAGCUCGAUUCACGUGGUCGGGAUUCUUUAAUCUCAAAGUUAAUUUCCUUCUUCUGAGAGAGGCUAGUGCUAGUUUUAAGGGCCAGCAGAGGCAGUCAUGUGAUGAAGUCCACUAAAUAAUUCAGCUUGCUUUUUAGCAUCAGCCUAGUGCCCACUUUCAUUCUUUAUGUGAGCACUGGAGUAUAAUUCAUAAAUUGUGCAUUGGUAGGUAAGCCUGGUUACAGAGAAAUACUCACUGAGAACCCAGUGAGUGAGCAUUAAGGUUUUGUUUGUUUGUUUGUUUAACAGCACCAUCUUCCACAUUCCUAGAAUCAUGAGACCUUGGCAGAAAAAAAAAGGGAGGCUUCCUCCUCUAUUUGCUUCUCAGAUUUUUUUUUAAAUCCUCCUCUGAGGAGAUGCUUACUGAUUUUAGAGAGAGGGGAAGGGUAACCAGCCUUCCCCUGCACCUGUGUAACCAGCACCUGACUGGGGGACGGGAAGGGGAAAACCAAACUGUUCUCCAGGAAAAGAAAGAGACCCUCACACCCACCUGUGGCACCUGCUUAGUGAAAAGCAAAUAUAUUGUUUGUCUCACUCUUUCUUUUGUCACCACGUGAAUAGGGGCUGCUGAGAUUUCGCAGGCUGUCCUGGCUCUGCCUGUGAGCAGAGAGACAAGCACAAUUCCCAUGGGCAUAACUGAUCGAGUUUUCCUUUCUUUUCAUCAUUAUUGACGAAAGCAGUUGACGGCUUUUGGUUCUAUUUAACCUCAUUUUUUCCUCUACCAACUCGCCGAACGUCCCAGUGCCCUGUUUGAAAAUUCAUGGUUCAGCAUAAUUGUGCUGUAGGAUUUGGAGCCAAAGUAAAGUUUGUAUAGCCGGUGUUGCCACCUUAAUCUCCGUCCUGGGCUUCGUCUUGGCACCAAGCUGACAUCUGACACAUGUCUAGAGUAAAUGACAAAGAGUUUAGUGUGACCUAACCCUGCAAUUCCCAAAUGCCAGGCUCUCUCAGGCCAUGGUAAACUGGGUCACUGUUCCUGAGUUGGAUGCUUUACGGAAACCUUGAACUUGUCUGGGGUGCUGGCCGAAGGCAAUGGCUGACAUUGGGGAGGUCAUAGAAAGGAGGAAGCUCUACCGGCCAAUGUGAAAAAGGUGGCACCUCAUGGGUAUAUAAUAACCUUCCAAACUGCUCCGUCGGGCAGACCCAGAUGGGCUGAAUGGCACAUCAUUUUCUAUUCUCUCCAGGCACCCCACGAACGGCAUCUUUCUCCCUCGAUUUGCCUACCCAUCAUGCUGCCACUGUGAUCUUUUAAAGGUCUCAGCUGCUAAUAUUGUUUUAAAAUACGCACAUAAUUGAUUGGUUCAUGCUUCCCUGCAGAAUCUCUGCCCUUUAGGGCCCCUUUGCUGGAUUUUCUUUGUUAAGGAUGGCGAGUAUCCUCCCUUGAGCUCUAAAGCCACUCCCAGUUCUAUAUUCUUCUAAGUACAAAGGGACAGGAAGUUUACCUUUAUAUAAUUACUCCUGUGCUCUGUUUUCCAGGGGAGCUGGGAAUGCACAUACUGUUACUGUUACUCAUGGGCCCUUGGGGCAGGCUUCUGCUGGACUAUUUUUAAAUCAGGGCAAUAACAUCUGGGAACAUACCAGUAGUUACUGCGCUGACACGGACCACAGAUUCCUGGUAGCAAUGUGGGGUCCUUCCUGAGAAGCACUUCAAAAAGAAAUUGUUGUUCAAGUAUAGUUGUCUUCAUUUUCCUCCCACCACGCCCCCCACCCCACACAUCCCCACCUCCCACCUCAUUUCUACCCCCAUUUGGCUUUGUCCAUGUGUCCUUUAUACAUGUGCCUUGACGAGCCUUUGCCCCAUCUCCACUUCUGUGAUCCUCUUCCCCCUCCCCUCUGGUUACUGUCAGUUUGUUCUUUAUUUCAGUGUCUCUGGUUAUAUUUUUCUUGCUCCUUUGUUAAGUUCUACUUAUAGAUGAGAUCAUAUGGUAUUUGUCUUUCACUGACUGGCUUAUUUCACUCAGCAUAAUGCUCUCCAACUUCAUACCGGUCAGAAUGGCCAUCAGAAGCAAAUCAACAAACAAGUGCUGGUGAGGAUGUGGAGAAAAAGGGAACCCUAGUGCACUGUUGGUGGGAGUGCAGACUGGUGCAGCCACUGUGGAAAACAGUGUGGGAUUUUCUCAAAAAACUAAAAAUGGACCUGCCUUAUGACCCAGCAAUUCCACUACUGGGAUUAUACUCUAAGAACCCUGAAACACCAAUCCAAAAGAACCUAUGUACCCCAAUGUUCACAGCAGCACAAUUUACAAUAACCAAGUGUUGGAAGCAACCUAGGUGCCCAUCAAUAAAUGAGUGGAUCAAAAAACUGUGGUACGUUGACACAAUGGAAUACUACACAGCAGAAAGAAAGAAGGAGCUGAGGAAGCAGUUCUAAGACUGCUAUUCAUAGUGGAAGAAGAGAGGCUAGGAAACUAGUCACUGCAAGGUUAGAGGCCCUUCAUCAAGUCCCCUUGAGAACAAUUGGCCGCAUGCAUUGGUUCUCAAAAUCAUCUGUGCAUCACACUCACAAGGAAAACAUAUUGAGACACGGACUGCUCUGUGGGCCUCACCCCCAGAGUUUCUAAUUCAGUACAUCUGGGCGGGGUCUGGCAAUUUGCAUAUUUAACAAAUUUCUGUUAAACCAGUUGCUGCUGCUGGUUUCAGGUCCCCACUUGGAGGACUGCUGGCCUGGUGCAUUGUUCCCACGAUCUGCUGUUGUGGGAACAAAGUAUAAUGGAAAGACCAGGCUGUGGGGUUUGGAACAAGAGAGGCAUUAGAUCAAAGCUUGUUCCCAUUCCUGAUCACCUGUAUGAAUUUGCCUAAAUUACUUAACUUUGCUAAGAAAUAGUUCUUUCAUUUGUGUUAAUACACCAACGUGGACUUGCAGUCAUGGUGGCAGCGUAAGCAGACAUGGCUGCCUACUUGCACAACCACAUCAAAAUUAAAACUAAAAUAUAGAACAACUAUCACUCAGAAAUGUUAGAAACUGAGUUGAAUGGAAGUCUGACAACUACGGAAUUAAGGAAACCACAUCCACCCAGACUAGUACAAAGGGAAUAGAUACAGAUUGGGCUGGUCACUCACUCACGUGUUGUGGAUAAAAAUUCAGGAGGGACAUCUCAGGAGUGAGGAGUCCCAGCCCCACACCAGAUCUCUCAGCCCAGGGUCCCAGGGAGAGGAUAAUGAGUCCCUGCAACUUCUGGCUGCAAAACCCAGCAAGGAUGGAGUUGGUGGAAGAAAAUUCUGGAGCACUGAGCAUUUCCUCUUAAAGAUCCACACAUGGACUCACUCAGACUCACUCUCUCUGAGCUCAAGCACCAGGGUAGUGGCUUGAGGGGCACCAGUCACGUGCAGGGGUAGGCUCGGUUUUCUUGUAUCAAGGUAAGCAGGGGCCAUUGUCCCUUUUCUGGACCCUACCCAACAGAACCAGGCUGGUACUGCACCUGCAACUCCAUCAACCUGGCUAACACUGCUUGAUCUGCCUUGGAGAUCCCCAGAGACUCUGCCGCACCCAACUUAGGGGCCCACCCAAGCUGCUUUUCCACAUGAAUGGCUGGUCUUGGCUCUUUCUACACAACUCCUAAAUGCCAUCAAACAAGUAACAGCUGGCUUCAGUGAGACCCAGGCCCAGCAAUAGCAGCAACCAGCCUAGAUUCACAGCUUGGCUUUGCUGGAAAUUUCCAAGUCCAACACAAGUAGCAACCAUCUCAUAUUGCUUUAUAGCUCAGGCAGGGUGGCUCUAGGCGAAACACAGGUAGGGGCUAACCUUGGUCUACACUACCGGGGCAUCCCCAAGGCCAGCACACUCAGUGGACAGCUACAGACCACGCUGGAGCACCACUACUGUGUGCCUGCACAGCUGAUGCUCUUUGGAGGGUGGAGGGUGGUGGUCAGUGGUCACAGGCAGCUAACUGGCCUGGGCAAAUCUCUCCUAUUGAUCUGCCAUCAACUCUCAAGGCUCAACUACAAGAGGAGGGUGUACUCAGCCUCACAUGAAGGGUGCAGUUCAAUUACCCAGCUUGGGUGCCAGGGGAGGCUGGGCCACUGAACCCUACAGGACACCUACUACAUUAGGCCACACUGCCAAGACGUGGAAUCAAGGCAGCUCUACCUAAUACGUAGAAACAAACAGAGAGGGGCUGCCAAAAUGAGGAGACAUAGAACAUGGCCCGUAUGAAAGAACAGAUCAAAACUCCAGAAAAAGAGCUAAAUGAAAUGGAAAUAAGCAACCUAUCAGAUGUAGAGUUCAAAACACAGGUUAUAAGGAUGCUCA